AAGGGCUUUUAAAAAUAAGGCGUGAUCCAUUACGAACGAAUUUCAUUAGUUUUCGUUCUUAGGUCAAUACGUUGGUGUAUUAAAUUUCAACAAAAUAUUCUAAAAAUUGCCGUCUGUCAGCGCAAGAGAACAAGGCGGAUUGCAGGAAGAUGAACAGACAACAUUGGUUGGGUUCAUGUUUUAAAUUAAUCGGUAUAAUAAAAGUUGGAUCUAUGCCAAGUCAUUCUGUAAAUUGGUGGCAUUAGUAUUACGACGCGAGAAGUGAAAUUCUUGGAUCUUUGUACGAUUAGCUUAAGUAAAAGCAUUUGCUUAAAACGAAAGUUAGAGAUUCAAAGGCGAUCAAAUAUCGGUUUAGUUUUUACCACAAGCGAUAUCAACUAGCGAUGGGAUGCCGCGAUUACUAUGAGUACCUUGAUCGCUUGCGGGGAAACGAAAACUUUUGGGCU
rfam:Glossina palpalis gambiensis isolate 146720 unplaced genomic scaffold Scaffold839, whole genome shotgun sequence.